GAUUAACGCUGGCGGCGUGCAUAACACAUGCAAGUCGAACGAUGAAACUUAGUCGACUUCUUCGGAAAGACACUAAGCGGAUUAGUGGCGAACGGGUGAGUAACGCGUGAGUAACCUGCCUUACACAAGGGGAUAGCCUUUGGAAACGAAGAAUAAUACCCUAUAAAACCAUAAAAGCACAUGCUAGAAUGGUCAAAGUGAUAGCGGUGUAAGAUGGACUUGCGUCUGAUUAGCUAGUUGGUGAGAUAAAAGCUCACCAAGGCAACGAUCAGUAGCCGGCUGGAGGGAGUGUACGGCACACUUGGAACUGGGCAACGCCCCAGCCCCCUACGGGAGGAGGAAGGGGGGAAUUUUGAACAAUGGGGGAAGCCUUAAUGCGGCGAGGCGGCGUGAUUAUGAAGGCCUUAGGGUUGUAAAGCUCUUUUGUAUAGGAAGAAAAUGACAGUACUAUACGAAUAAGGUCCGGCUAAUUACGUG
rnacentral:rRNA from 1 species